GCAAGUCGAGGGGUAACAGAGAAAAGCUUGCUUUUUUGCUGACGACCGGCGCACGGGUGCGUAACGCGUAUAGAACCUACCUUUUACUGAGGGAUAGCCUUUAGAAAUGAAGAUUAAUACCUCAUGGCAUCAAAUUUUCGCAUGAUUAUUUGAUUAAAGAUUUAUUGGUAAAAGAUGGCUAUGCGUCCUAUUAGCUAGAUGGUAAGGUAACGGCACACCAAGACAGCGAUAGGUAGGGGCCCUGAGAGGGGGAUC
rnacentral:rRNA from 1 species